AGUGAACGCUGGCGGUAGGCCUAACACAUGCAAGUCGAACGGCAGCACAGUAAGAGCUUGCUCUUACGGGUGGCGAGUGGCGGACGGGUGAGGAAUACAUCGGAAUCUACUUUUUCGUGGGGGAUAACGUAGGGAAACUUACGCUAAUACCGCAUACGACCUACGGGUGAAAGCAGGGGAUCUUCGGACCUUGCGCGAUUGAAUGAGCCGAUGUCGGAUUAGCUAGUUGGCGGGGUAAAGGCCCACCAAGGCGACGAUCGGUAGCUGGUCUGAGAGGAUGGUCGGCCACACUGGAACUGAGACACGGUCCAGACUCCUACGGGAGGCAGCAGUGGGGAAUAUUGGGCAAUGGGCGCGAGCCUGAUCCAGCCAUACCGCGUGGGUGAAGAAGGCCUUCGGGUUGUAAAGCCCUUUUGUUGGGAAAGAAAAGCAGCAGGUUAAUACCCCGCUGUUCUGACGGUACCCAAAGAAUAAGCACCGGCUAACUUCGUG
rnacentral:rRNA from 1 species